UACGUAGGGACCAAGCGUUGUUCGGAUUUACUGGGCGUAAAGGGCGCGUAGGCGGCGCGGUAAGUCACUUGUGAAAUCUCUGAGCUUAACUCAGAACGGCCAAGUGAUACUGCAGUGCUAGAGUGUGGAAGAGGCAAUCGGAAUUCUUGGUGUAGCGGUGAAAUGCGUAGAUAUCAAGAGGAACACCUGAGGUGAAGGCGGGUUGCUGGGCCAACACUGACGCUGAUGCGCGAAAGCCAGGGGAGCAAACGGG
rnacentral:rRNA from 1 species